UGACAGACCACCUCUUCAUACCGCGUUUGCUGCUGCUCCUCUGGCUGCUCCUGGCGAGUCAGACCCUGCGCCUUCCAUUGCAACAUUUCGCGAUGAUCCGGAGCUUUCUGGCGCUACCGCUUCCCACAUCCAGUGCGUCUGCGAGUGGAGCGAGCGCACACACACAGAAUUUCCUUGCGACCAACAUUCAAAAAUAUAUUUUGCCUUUUUUUUAAAAAAGUACCACAGGAUUUCUGAAGUUCCUUAAAAAGAAAAUCCUUUUAGAGGCACCUUGGCCUCAAUCUGCAACAAAUACUGGGAGGUCCAAGUUGAAUUCCCAGGCUUGCACAGAUAAUGACAGGGUGGUGGAUACUGCGGUAGAAAGUGCCAGACUUCUCUUUUCUUUCUUAACUAAAGAGAAGACUUAGUUCCUUGCUAUAAAAUAACCACUUACAAUAAGAAAAACACAACGGAAGCUUAACACUUAAAUAAGGGAAUUUAAACCGUGCAGUUUGUUUUAACUUAGUAUUCACUCUUUCACUGAAAUCCUAGGAAACUCAAUUUAAUACAUUUUAAUGUAAAAUGAAUAAAAUGUAAAGCUGGCAACCGCUAACUGCUUUUUUACAUUAAAUGAAUCGCUAGAUUGUUUAAUUUUUGGCACCCGCUUUCCACGUUUCUGUUCAUUUAAAAUCAGCCAUUCAUUGAGGUGUUUUUUUUAAAGUUAUACACGUUAUAUGUACGAUGCCAACUCUACAGAAUAUAUAGGGUUCGAUGGUGAACUCGCCGAAGACAAUCUGGUUGUCUGUUAAUUGUUUAUACUAAUAAACCUCGAUGUUUUACUUUUAGCUAAUGUCACUUAGAUUGGUGACAGAGACAAAAAUCUUGUAUAGUCGUAGUAGUAUUGAGUCAUUGUUAUGAUGCACUAAAGGAUCAUCCCCUCUGAACUCGCACAGAUUCAGGGCUUGUUCUUUUCACUCUUUACUCACGCAGACUUCCCACUGAAGUUAGUGGGAGCCCUGCCUGUGUAAAGAGGACAAGAUCGAGCCUGAAAGGCUUAAAGCACUUUCCCCUUGCACAGACUACAUUUAAUUAUAGUUGGUUCAACAACAGACUGUUUUCAGUGACUUCAGGCGUGAAAGUAGCGGGAGUUUGUUGUUUGACUGUGAAAUGAGGAGUGUUGCUUUAAGGUGCACACGGUGUGUGUUCAUUGAAAAAAAAAACCCCGUCUACUUUGAAAGAAAGGGGGAGGGGCGGGGAGGCGGGCCCCGAUCUUUCACGUGAUAGGCGGGCCCCGGGCGCGCAUGGCUAGGCGUUCCUUCCCCUCCCGGGGCGGUGAGUAUGGGCAGCCGCUGCUGUGCAGCCGUAGUACUCAGAGGCUGGAAGCGAAUGCAAAAAGCAGGCGAGUGGCUGAAACAUGCAGGGAACGACAUUCUGUAGGGAGACAUUCUAAAAAAGUGCUCAGGG